GACAGACAUGACACAUGACAUUACACGUCGUAAUCGUAACUUUCAUAAGUUAACUUAAAAAGUUUAACAACGGAGAUCGGAUAACAAUUUAAGUGUUUUAACUGAAGUUUUCAUGUACCUGGCCAACUAGGUGCUCGUUAAAAUAGAAAUGAAAUGGUCUAAUCCAAAAAUGCAUGCUCACAAUCUAUGUCUUCUGAAGCAAAAUCAUUUCUGUUGCAGUUGUAAAUCUUCAGGAUAUUGAUGCCUUCGCCAGAUUCAAUUCCUUGUGGCUAUCUAUUUUCCGGACAACAGCAAGAAAAUGCUGCUACUCAAGAUUUUAUGGUGACCACCACUUUGUUCUAAUUUAGGA